AGGACGAACGCUGGCGGCGUGCUUAACACAUGCAAGUCGAGCGGAAAGGCCCUUCGGGGUACUCGAGCGGCGAACGGGUGAGUAACACGUGAGUAACCUGCCCUUCACUUUGGGAUAACCCUCGGAAACGGGGGCUAAUACCGGAUAUGACAUAGGCUCGCAUGGGCUCUGUGUGGAAAGAUUUUUUGGUGGGGGAUGGGCUCGCGGCCUAUCAGCUUGUUGGUGGGGUGAUGGCCUACCAAGGCGACGACGGGUA
rnacentral:rRNA from 1 species